GGGAUCUGGGGCAGCAGUCACACUUCUACCAUGAAAUUCCUGUAUUUUCUCUUCAUUGGUGUCUUUGUCCUGUCCCUGGCAACAUCAGGUUACACUGGAAUCCCAAGGAGACCUCUGUAUUCCUGUAGUGUGUGCCCUCCUGCAACCUGUCGGUCAAAAUCAUUACCCUGCAAAAAGGCAAUUGAUGGUAUCUGUCCUACUGGCAUGCAGUGCUGUGUGACUGGUUCAUCUCACAAAGAGUGCUGAAGAACCCCAUCUCUGCAUGGAGCAUCACCAAGUGCAAGCAGGAAUGUUACUGCCUUGAAUAAAAAAGCACAGACCUCUUC